AUUGAACGCUGGCGGCAGGCCUAACACAUGCAGGUCGAGCGGGGUUUUCGGACCUAGCGGCGGACGGGUGAGUAAUGCGUAGGAAGCUGCCCGAUAGAGGGGGAUACCAGUUGGAAACGACUGUUAAUACCGCAUAAUGUCUACGGACCAAAGUGUGGGACCUUCGGGCCACAUGCUAUCGGAUGCGCCUACGUGGGAUUAGCUAGUUGGUGAGGUAAUGGCUCACCAAGGCGACGAUCGCUAGCUGGUUUGAGAGGAUAAUCAGCCACACUGGAAAUGAGACACGUUCCAGGCUGCUACGGGAGGCAGCAGUGGGGAAUAUUGGCCAAUGGGCGCAAGCCUGAUCCAGCCAUGCCGCGUGUGUGAAGAAGGCCUUCGGGGUGUAAAGCACGUUCAGCGAGGAGGAAGGGUGGUGUGUUAAUAGCACAUCAUUUUGACGUUACUCGCAGAAGAAGCACCGGCUAACUCUGUGCCAGCAGCCGCUGUAACAC
rnacentral:rRNA from 1 species